UACGGAGGGGGCUAGCGUUGUUCGGAAUUACUGGGCGUAAAGCGCACGUAGGCGGCUUUGCAAGUUAGAGGUGAAAGCCCGGGGCUCAACUCCGGAAUUGCCUUUAAAACUGCAUCGCUAGAAUUGUGGAGAGGUAAGUGGAAUUCCGAGUGUAGAGGUGAAAUUCGUAGAUAUUCGCAAGAACACCAGUGGCGAAGGCGGCUCACUGGCCCGGUACUGACGCUGAGGUGCGAAAGCGGGAUGGCAAACAGGG
rnacentral:rRNA from 1 species